rnacentral:tRNA from 1 species
AAUUAAUUAGCUUAUAUAAAGCAUAUAUUUUGAAAAUAUAAAAAAGACUAACCAUUUAUUAAUUU